CGGGUCGCAGCAGUAAGGAAUAUUGGUCAAUGGACGCAAGUCUGAACCAGCCAUGCCGCGUGAAGGAUUAAGGUCCUCUGGAUUGUAAACUUCUUUUAUUUGGGACGAAAAAGGGCCUUUCUAGGUCAACUGACGGUACCAGAUGAAUAAGCACCGGCUAACUCCGUGCCAGCAGCCGCGGUAAUACGGAGGGUGCAAGCGUUAUCCGGAUUCACUGGGUUUAAAGGGUGCGUAGGCGGGCAGGUAAGUCAGUGGUGAAAUCCUGGAGCUCAACUCCAGAACUGCCAUUGAUACUAUCUGUCUUGAAUAUUGUGGAGGUAAGCGGAAUAUGUCAUGUAGCGGUGAAAUGCUUAGAUAUGACAUAGAACACCCAUUGCGAAGGCAGCUUACUACGCAUAUAUUGACGCUGAGGCACGAAAGCGUGGGGAUCAAACAGGAUUAGAUACCCGGGU
rnacentral:rRNA from 1 species